GGACGAACGCUGGCGGCGUGCUUAACACAUGCAAGUCACGGGGGCCCAGCAAUGGGCAACCGGCGAACGGGUGCGUAACACGUGAGCGACCUGCCUUUCCGCGGGGGAUAGCCGGCCCAACGGCCGGGUAAUACCGCAUACGCUUCCUUCGGGGCAUCCCGUGGGAAGGAAACCUCCGGGGCGGGAAGAGGGGCUCGCGGCCUAUCAGCUAGUUGGCGGGGUAACGGCUCACCAAGGCGACGACGGGUAGCUGGUCNGAGAGGAUGGCCAGCCACAUUGGGACUGAGAUACGGCCCAGACUCCUACGGGAGGCAGCA
rnacentral:rRNA from 1 species